CCAAUAGCGUAUAUUAAAGUUGUUGCAGUUAAAAAGCUCGUAGUUGAAUUUCGGGAUCAGUAUGUUGGUCGUGCUUCGGUACGUACUGUCAUUACUGGUUUCUCCCUUCUGAAGAACCUUGAUGUCAUUAAUUUGGUGUCUUGGGGAAUCAGGACUGUUACUUUGAAAAAAUUAGAGUGUUUAAAGCAGGCAUACGCUUGAAUACAUUAGCAUGGAAUAAUGAAAUAGGACGUUUGAUUCUAUUUUGUUGGUUUCUAGGAUCGACGUAAUGAUUAAUAGGGAUAGUUGGGGGCAUUAGUAUUCAAUUGUCAGAGGUGAAAUUCUUGGAUUUAUUGAAGUCUAACUACUGCGAAAGCAUUUGCCAAGGAUGUUUUCAUUAAUCAAGAACGAAAGUUAGGGGAUCGAAGACGAUCAGAUACCGUCGUAGUCUUAACCAUAAACUAUGCCGACUAGGGAUCGGAUGAUGUUAAUUUUUUAAUGACUCAUUCGGCGCCUUACG
rnacentral:rRNA from 1 species